UGUUGGCCUGGGUGUAGUCGGUGGAGCCGGCUGAUUGGCCGCCUUCGGGCGUGGCGUUGCUGACAACGACGGCGGCGGCGGUGACGUACGGAAGGUCACAGUUCAACGGAACCGUCUCCUCGAACUUGGCGUUCAGACUCGACUUACUGGAUCGACUGCAGAGAGAAGAAACUUUCCCUCGUGGACCUGGAUGGUGUUCAGCUCCUGGACGUUUCCCCUCAGACCCACCGUCGUGUUGGAGUUUGGGACGAUGAAGGUUUUCCUCUUACUGCGGGCGCAGCAGGAAACAGUGCAGCAGGUGAUGGUGAUGCACCUCGAAGGUCGGGUUGGUGUUGCACACCAACGCUCGUCCUGCUUCCUUUGACGCCUUCAGGAAACAGACAGAUCACAUGCCCACAGAGUGAGUGUGUGUGUCUCUGUGUGUGUGUGUGUGUGUGUCUCUGUGUGUGUGUGUGUGUGUGUCU